UACGUAGGGGGCGAGCGUUGUCCGGAAUCAUUGGGCGUAAAGAGCUCGUAGGCGGUUCAGUAAGUCAGGUGUGAAAGCUCCGAGCUCAACUCGGAGAGGCCACCUGAUACUGCUGUGACUAGAAUCCAGUAGGGGAGUGUGGAACUCCUGGUGUAGCGGUGAAAUGCGCAGAUAUCAGGAGGAACACCAACGGCGAAGGCAGCACUCUGGGCCGGAACUGACGCUGAGGAGCGAAAGCGUGGGUAGCGAACAGG
rnacentral:rRNA from 1 species